CAUUGAGGAAAUCUGGAACACAAAAGAACCCAGGUCGAAGGUUCUUCGGAUGUGCAAAUUCUAAGACAAAAAAAAAAGGCUGUGAGGACUGUUGAACAAUGUGAGAGUUCAUCAUCCAUGAGCAUUAGUGAAGAAAUGCAGAGGACAACAAUCACAAUGCAGAUGAAGAUUGAAGCCAUGCAGAAGGAGAUUGAUGCAAUGCGAAUGAGAAUGAGAAAUGGGGGGAAAAAUGAACUGGAAUUACCUUUGGAUUAUUGUUUUUUGUGUUGUGUCGUACAUGUGUGGCAAAAGCAGCCAGUGAUCUCAAGUAGUCGUAGUCGUAGUAGCAGUAGUAGUAGUAUGUUUGGGACUAUGAAAUUGCUUACUGGUGGGGAUUUGGUUUGGUGUAUCUAGCUUGGCCUUGGAUGUAUGGCUAAUUUAUUUUGA